UAUCUAACUGGGAGUCUCGUGAGUGAAAACAUCCGAAGCUCAUCAAAGAUCCCUGCUCAUCCACUGGCCCAUCAGCCCAGCCAGCCAGCCAAUUCAUUAACUUGAUCUCCACUGUAAAAGGCAUCUAGACAUUAUUUCCCCUUGCUUCUAGCCUAACAUUUUUGUUUGCAUCAAUGGGGGGUGUUGUACAAACGUUGCUGUCUUUCUCUCAACAUUUGCAACAUCGUUUCAUUAUUGAAAUUCAAUAUGCACUAUCCUAUUGAGAAUUAACGUGUCAGGACAAGACUGACAUCUUGUCUCAGCCAGUUGAAAUUAUGAAUCCGCAAAAUCAUUAUGGAUAUAUACAAAGAAAUGUCCAUUUAAAACCAGGUCAAAGGAAAUUAAAAGUAGUUACUUUCCUGUUAUUCUAGCUGCAUGGUUUGAUGUGACUGUUAAUAGUAGUUGGCUAGCUAGCAGGCAAGGGAUAAGAGUGUUAUCAGUAUAAAUGUAUAGCUGGGGAGGUGACGCCCAUAAGGGAAGAGUAUAACAUGUGUUGUGAGCUUUCUAAAUGCAUGCACUCAGCUGACUGUAUCCUUGGUAUUAAACACUCUCUUAAACUUC